UACGUAGGGUGCGAGCGUUAAUCGGAAUUACUGGGCGUAAAGGGCUCGUAGGCGGCCAACUAAGUCAGACGUGAAAUCCCUCGGCUUAACCGGGGAACUGCGUCUGAUACUGGAUGGCUUGAAUCCGGGAGAGGGAUGCGGAAUUCCUGGUGUAGCGGUGAAAUGCGCAGAUAUCAGGAGGAACACCGGUGGCGAAGGCGGAUCUCUGGGCCUUACCUGACGCUCAGGUGCGAAAGCUAGGGGAGCGAACAGG
rnacentral:rRNA from 1 species